GAAUUCACUAGUGAUUCGAGGCCUAACACAUGCAAGUCGAGCGGUAGAGAGAAGCUUGCUUCUCUUGAGAGCGGCGGACGGGUGAGUAAAGCCUAGGAAUCUGCCUGGUAGUGGGGGAUAACGUUCGGAAGCGGACGCUAAUACCGCAUACGUCCUACGGGAGAAAGCAGGGGACCUUCGGGCCUUGCGCUAUCAGAUGAGCCUAGGUCGGAUUAGCUAGUUGGUGAGGUAAUGGCUCACCAAGGCGACGAUCCGUAACUGGUCUGAGAGGAUGAUCAGUCACACUGGAACGGAGACACGGUCCAGACUCCUACGGGAGGCAGCAGUGGGGAAUAUUGGACAAUGGGCGAAAGCCUGAUCC
rnacentral:rRNA from 1 species